rnacentral:rRNA from 1 species
AGUGAACGCUGGCGGUAGGCCUAACACGUGCAAGUCGAACGGCAGCACAGGAGAGCUUGCUCUCUGGGUGGCGAGUGGCGGACGGGUGAGGAAUACAUCGGAAUCUACUCUGUCGUGGGGGAUAACGUAGGGAAACUUACGCUAAUACCGCAUACGACCUACGUGUGAAAGCAGGGGAUCUUCGGACCUUGCGCGAUUGAAUGAGCCGAUGUCGGAUUAGCUCGUUGGCGGGGUAAAGGCCCACCAAGGCCACGAUCCGUAGCUGGUCUGAGAGGAUGAUAGGCUACGAUGGGACUGGGACACGGGCCAGACUCCUAGGGAGGGAAUGGGUGGGGAAUAUUGGACAGUGGGCGCAAGCCUGAUCCAGGCAUACCGCGGGGGUGAAGAUGGCCUUCGGGUUGUAAAGCCCUUUUGUUGGGAAAGAAAUCCAGCUGGCUAAUACCCGGUUGGGAUGACGGUACCCAAAGAAUAAGCACCGGCUAACUUCGUGCCAGCCGCCGCGGGAA